AUUGAACGCUGGCGGCAUGCCUUACACAUGCAAGUCGAACGGCAGCACGGGAGCAAUCCUGGUGGCGAGUGGCGAACGGGUGAGUAAUAUAUCGGAACGUGCCCGGUCGUGGGGAUAACGUAGCGAAAGCUACGCUAAUACCGCAUACGAUCUACGGAUGAAAGCGGGGGAUCGCAAGACCUCGCGCGAUUGGAGCGGCCGAUAUCAGAUUAGGUAGUUGGUGAGGUAAAGGCUCACCAAGCGACGAUCUGUAGCUGGUCUGAGAGGACGACCAGCCACACUGGGACUGAGACACGGCCCAGACUCCUACGGAGGCAGCAGUGGGGAAUUUUGGACAAUGGGCGCAAGCCUGAUCAGCAAUGCCGCGUGCAGGAUGAAGGCCGUUACGGGUUUCGGUAAACUU
rnacentral:rRNA from 1 species